rnacentral:tRNA from 1 species
AUAAGAUUAAGUUAUUUAGACUGAAUGUUUUCAAAACAUUUAGAGGUUAUGUUUCCAUCUUAUG